rnacentral:rRNA from 1 species
AAGCGAGUGGCGAACUGGUGAGUAACACGUGGGAAAUCUGCCCAGAAGCAGGGGAUAACACUUGGAAACAGGUGCUAAUACCGUAUAACAACAAAAUCCGCAUGGAUUUUGUUUGAAAGGUGGCUUCGGCUAUCACUUCUGGAUGAUCCCGCGGCGUAUUAGUUAGUUGGUGAGGUAAAGGCCCACCAAGACGAUGAUACGUAGCCGACCUGAGAGGGUAAUCGGCCACAUUGGGACUGAGACACGGCCCAAACUCCUACGGGAGGCAGCAGUAGGGAAUCUUCCACAAUGGACGAAAGUCUGAUGGAGCAAUGCCGCGUGAGUGAAGAAGGGUUUCGGCUCGUAAAACUCUGUUGUUAAAGAAGAACACCUUUGAGAGUAACUGUUCAAGGGUUGACGGUAUUUAACCAGAAAGCCACGGCUAACUACGUGCCAGCAGCCGCGGUAAUACGUAGGUGGCAAGCGUUGUCCGGAUUUAUUGGGCGUAAAGCGAGCGCAGGCGGUUUUUUAAGUCUGAUGUGAAAGCCUUCGGCUUAACCGGAGAAGUGCAUCGGAAACUGGGAGACUUGAGUGCAGAAGAGGACAGUGGAACUCCAUGUGUAGCGGUGGAAUGCGUAGAUAUAUGGAAGAACACCAGUGGCGAAGGCGGCUGUCUAGUC